CGGUGGUAUAGAAUUCAAACCUCAAUGAAAUGAGUCAGCUUCGUGAUGUAACAGUGGCUGACCACACCAAGAACAUUCUAAAGCCGGCUUUGAUACCCUCCCUUCUGGGAGCAGAACACUCCCAGCUGUGGCCCCAAAGGAUUGGGAGAUAUUUCGCCAAAUAGAUAAAAGUGUCAUAAAACAUAGAUAAUACCAUAUUUUGAAACUGCCACUAUGUGGCCAGUAGAGGCCCUUCCAUAUGGAUUGAUGGCCCUGUUUCUGUUUGAUUUGGAUAUGACUAUUCUAGAACAUGAUGUUCUAGAAUGUUAGUGGAGAUAUGUUGUCAGAUCAAAGAGCGGAAGUGGUUCUGAGAUAGCCUCCUAAAGUCCUGGCUGAAGCAGCGGGAUCUUCUCUGGAUCCAAUGGGCCCUGCAUCCCUAGAAUGGUCUCUAGAGAACGGGAGAGCACGAACAUCUCAGCCCUCAUGGCAGAAGGGAGUUCCACUCCUUGCUUCCUCUGGGAGCUCUCUGUACAGGGAACUUAAGAGGAGUCUGAGAGACUCAAUGAGAUUUUGAAUCUGUUGUAAAAAAUGGUGGGAAAAGAUUUUUUUCUGGAAGAUCUUCACAUUCUUAAUGAUCAGAGAAUGGAAAUGGGAAAUCCCAGCUUACCCUGAACUAGUUCAGGUGUGAAGAAGCAUCUUGUUCUCAGAAAGAGGAAAUUGUUUCCCCAGGAGUGAAAAUGGAAGAAUCAAGAAAGGCCUUUGGAGAAGCCUCUUUUAGGGUCAACAGGUUAUUUGAAGCCACUGCCAGGAUGUUGAUCCUGACUGACUUUCAAGUGGGUAGAUGGAAGAGGUGUUGGCGUCCCAGGCAGGAAAGGCCGAAUGGGAGAAGUCUCAGAAAUCCUCGUCUUCACUGGGAGAGGGAGGAUUCACCAUCUUGAGGAAUUCUGACGAGCAUCACACCUUUUCUUUCAUGUGAGAACUUUUCAUGGGACCUUCUCUUCUUCUCCUCCAUCUGCUUUAUUUGAACCUGAGAGACCCAGGUUAUUCAGUCAACAGUUAUUUCAACCAUCCCAAGGGCUGUGCUUUACAUGACAUUGGAAGAUGCGAUGUUUUAUGAUGUUCCACUUCUAUUCUCUUUUUCCAUCUCCUCUCCUUCAGCGCCUCACCCUUGUGUGGAGACUCCUGAGACCCAUGCCAAUGGAACAGAACCUUUGCUGGGUUCCAGCCUUCUAGAAAGUCACUGCAUAUAGGUCUUCUGUAGGUGUCUGUUGUCAUAGCACCAGCCUGGGCUCAGAACAGAGAGAUUCCCACUAGGUUGGCCAAAGCAGCUCUCAAAGUCAACCUGUGUAGUUCUAGAUACAAUGAAACAUGUUUUGUUGUCAAGAAUGUCCUCUCUGAGGAAAUGUGGCUUCCUUGAAAUACUGAAGAAGGCACCGGAGUUGUGUGUGUGUGUGUAAGCGUACGUGUGCGUGUGCAGAAUAUGUCAUUUAAUUGAGAGAGCAACACCCCGAUGUGGAAACUCCUUUCACCGUUGCAGAUGGGCGACUGAUUGCCAACUCAUAGGCUUUAGAGAAUUCCUGGAAGCUCUAAGAAAUCUAAUGCCGUCCCCAGGGGUAGACAGUGUAGUCUGUUCUGGAGGUCUAGGAGGGACUUUUCUCUAAGAUGGUCCUGAGAUAAUCUUAUAGGUCCCCGCAGCUCUAAGAGAAGAGAAGUCAUCGGGGGUCUGACUCGGUGCUGGUGGGAGGAAGGGCCCUUCCAACCAAAUCCAUGUCCUUGAAGGUCCUUUGGCUUAGAGCAUCAGGUCGAGGAGGGUAUGGUGUACAUACCACAGCAUAGGAGGGUAACUUCUGUCUGGAUCAAAGGAGAGGUAGAGUCAGAUACUGGAGAAUCCUCAAGGGGCAAUGUUAUGUUAGAUCAUUUUAUAGUAUGCUAUUUUUUCAACAUUUCAAUUGUACUUCCAUGAACAGAAAUCCCUUUUUCUUCUCUUCUCCAAGAGAAAAAGCAACAGGUAGAGAUGUAACAUAUUAUGACAAAUAUGGAGUCCAACAAAACUAAUACCCAAAUUGGCCAUGUCCCAAGGUGUCGAGGUUCUGUUCGCCCGGAGCCCAUCACCUCUCUGUGAGCAGGUGGGUAUUAUGCUUUAUUGUUGUUCACCUGCAAUCAUGGCUGAUCAUUGGGCUAAUCCUUUUCUUCUUUCAUUGGACCUCUCUGUUGCUGGGUCAUAUGACAGUCUUUAGUGGCUUUGGGGACAUUGCUCCAAAUAGUUUCCAGAAUGACUGGAGCAUUUUACUUCUCCACCAACUAUCAUUGCCCAUUUUCACUUUUGUUGGUAAACUUUACCAGUAUGUUGAAUGUAAAGGGGAACCUUACAAUUAUUUUAAUUUGCAUUUUUCUAAUUAUGAGUAGGGAAGCUAGGUGGCACAAUGGAUAGAACACUGGACUUAGAGUCAGGAUGACUCUCUUCUUGAAUUUAAAUCCAGCCUCUGAUGCUUAGUAGCUAUGUGACCCUGGGCAAGUCACUUCACUCAGCCUCAGUUUCCUCAUCUGUAAAAUGGGCUGAAGAAGGAAAUGGCAAAUCACUCCAGUAUCUUUGCCAAGAAAAUCCCAUGGCUAUAUAGUAUUGGCAUGCUAUGGUUCAAGGGGUCACAAUUGACAUAAAUGAACCACAACAAUUAAUAGUAAUUGAGAGCUUUUUCAUAUUUAGCUAUUGAUAGCUUGGGGUUCUUCAGGGAACAGUUUGUUCUCCUUUGACUAUCAUUUGAGAAGGGGAUCUUCCAUCUCAUGGAAAUGAGACCCUCCACCAGGGGAACUUGUUGCAAAGAUUAUUUCCCCCCAGUGACUCAUUUCUUGUUUGCACAUCCCCUUUUUAAUUUGGUGGAACCCGAUUUGUCCACUGGUUUUUGAGGGAUCCUCUUGGUCUCUUCUUUUGCUCUGAACUGUUCCCCUGUUCAAAGAGAAGAAAGGGAAUCUCUUCCUUGCUUCUCCAGUGUAUGAAUGUAUCCAUUAUGAUGUUGUCAGGUAGUUCUAAGCCAUGUUAUUCUAUGGUACAUCAUGUUCCACUGUUAUUCUGUCAUGUCAGAUAUGAGGUCAUCACACCAUGUCAUGCCAAGCCAAGUCUCAUCAUCCACGUCAUAGUAUGUCAUGUUUGUUAUGUUACACAACAGUUGGCUUUGGCAUUAGAAAACAUUCUGGAGCUUUCUAGAAUGAAGGCAGAGACAAAUGAGGCUCUAGAAAGCCCCAUCUGGGAGGAGAUAGACAUGCUUCUUGGACUCUCUAAUAUCGUCUUUGGAGUGGAGAGAAAAACGCUAGUCCUAAUUUUGGAUUCCUCAAGGAUCACAGUGGCUCUCCAUCCUUGUGGUCAUGAUCAGGACUAGGGGUGGGGGCAGGGAGGAUGGGCAGGGCAGGGCAGGGCUAAUAGACCAUGUUUCCAUGGCAACCAAAGAGAACGCAUACAGUCCUGGGCUAUCAUUCCCAGCAGGUUUGUAGUCUGGGUACAGCUUAAGUCUUGAUUGGAGGCAGCUCCCUGGUGUUCUCCAAGCAAAAUCUGGACACCUGACACAUGGGUGGCCUCCAAGGACCCCUCCAAGGCUAAGUCAGUGGGCAGGUCUGAGCAUCACCCUUGAAGAGACAUUGAAUGUCCCUGGAAUGUGUCUAGAGGAAGGUGAUUGAACUUGAGAGGAACUCAAAGCAGUGUCUUAUUCAGAGGACAUGAAGGAAAGUGGGAGGUUUAUCUGGGAGAAGCACUUAACAGGAACCUGAGAACUGCCUUAAGUAUAUAAAGGACCUCCUCCUCAUUAGAUGUGUGGGGAAAUGAGAUGGGCAGCUUUGGGGCAGGAGGAAGUUUCCCAUCACCAGGCUCUUCAAGUGCCAGCCCUGGGGCUAUUUGGGGGAUAAUGUCAAGGGGAUUCCGAAGGCUCCUUCAGACUUGGGGAGUCUCCCGUUGUACCUUUGUCUUGGGCAGACUUCUCUUGAUUUACAAUCAUUAAGGAAUAAGUUUCUUUUCUUGAUGGGGGGGGGGGAGAGACAGAGGCUGAAACACAGACAGACAGACAGACAGACAGACAGACAGACAGACAGACAGACAGACAGAGCGGACCUUGUCAUUGGAUCAUGGAGAAGCAGGCAAAUAAGAAAUUGGUCCCCAGAGGCUCCAGGUCACACUGGUGGUGGCCAAUGACCUAGUGGGGAUUGUAACCUCCAUCUUUAAUUCCUGCCUUCUCCCCCAUCCUCCCCUGUUGCCUCCGGGAUUUCUCUGGCUGCAAGUCUCCCUCGGAGAGAGGAAGUGAGGUGGGGCCUGGGUGAUGGAGCAGAUUGGGCAAAGGUGAGUGAGUCGCGUCCAUUCUUGGUUUUUACAACUCGGGGUCAAAUGAAGUCUCUGUUGCAAGUCAUGCUUCCAUUCAUCGGGAGCCCGCUGUUGUUCGCCAACACUUUCCCCAGGAAAAGCAUCCUGUGAAUAACAUUAGCGCUGAAUAUGGAAUGAGUGGGAUGCAGCACAUCGCCCCAGAAAUAAACGUUGUUACAUUUCGAAGGUUUCCAAAACGAUCUUGCAAAAGGAAAUAAAUAGAAUUGUGAGCAGGAGUGGAAGUCAGCUCUUCGCCAGGACGUCUCACGCCAUCGUGGCCAUUUUGUCCCUCUUGUCAGGAAAAGUGGAGAGGCGCCAGGAGACUGCCAAGCCUUGGAGAGAACCCAGGCUUCCUCGAGGUGGGAUGCACUGGCCGUGCACACAGACCUCCCUUGGGCCCCGGGAGAUGGGCAGAUGCAUGGAUUGCAAUGCCUUCGGCCCCUUUGGAAGCCUGUAAAUGCUUCAGCAGAUUGGGUGCUCAGAGCUGGUGCUGCCCAUCGCACCUAUUUCUCCAGGUGUCUUUGUCAUGAGCAGCCCAGGCUCAUAGACGGUGGCUCCCUUGGUUAUAAUCACUAGUCAGAGAACGUUCUGGUCAAAGGCGGUUCUCUAUCGUCUACACUACCAGAUCCCUUCUCCAGCCUAGUGAAUGAGCAUCCCUGAUAUCAGCAUACCUGCCUGACUCCGGCAGCACCCAUUUACCCUUGGAUCCAAAGAGCUAAAUUGGGAGCCACUCAGUCUAACGUCUCAAGUUCUGUUUGGGAAAUUGAGUUGAAGUAGUGACUUGGCCCCAGGGUUGAGCCACUCCAUUGCCUUCUGUUACCUUCAGCCUAAUCCUCCUCUUCCUCCUCUGCUGUCCUAGGACCAGAGGCUACCCCAGAUCCCCCCUCCUUUGCCCCCUCCCUUCUACAUAUGCAAGAACGUGUUAGGAAAUUUUAUUUUUAUUUUUCUACAUCAUUUAGGAAUGGGAAACAUCAAGUGGGAGUGAAGGGUAUCCGGACGUCUGAGUGGGGAGGUGUGGACGGGGCUGGCGUGAAGCCUCUUUGAUACACCUCUAAAGGAGCCAAUCUGUUAGGUGGCCGCUUGCAGGGGCUCUGGCAUGUCCUGAGGCUACCUUUGAGGGUCAAGGUGGGCUGGGGCUGAGGAUAAGGAAGCCUUAGAGGGGCCAGCCUUCUGGGAGGCAGAGACUUAAUCGGAUUCCAGCCGUGGGGUGGGGAGAUGGCUUGGGGGAGAGGGCAAGGAGUCCCCAAAGGGGCCAACUUUCGAAGAGGCAGGAGGUUUUGGUGGGCCCAUGAGUAGGGCCUGGAAAAGCUUCCUUGUUGCUCCCAGGUGGAGGGCAGAGAGCCAAAGGAGCUGAACCUCUCCUGAGCUCCUGAGCCCUUGAAGAUAUGAGCUGCCCUGGGCAGAUGAAGUUGGGGGGACUUGGGCCGUCUACGCAAGGAGCUGGAGGGAGUCCAUGUGGAACCUUCCUGAGGGCUUUCUUUCCAAGCCCACAGAGGCAGGUCCUGGGGACAGGGAGUGGGGAUAUAGAUAUCUAUUUCCCCCUCCCACUCCAGCUUGUCCUGCCCUUCUGGGUAGGUAGGUGGUAAUUUCCUCCCAGGCUCCUGAUCCUGCCUCAGCCACUCUGGAGUCCAACUCUUCCUGGGAAAAAUAAAGCAAAGGAAAGGCCAAGUCAGAUGAGAUGGGAAAGAUGGGAGCUAAGAAGGAAGGAAGGGAGAGGGAGGAGAGAAGAGAUGGAGACGGACAGACACAGACGUGGGGAAGGAUACACAAGAGCAAGAAAAGGAAGGGCAGACACAGCCAGAGGGAGCCAGCAGACGGGCGGGCGGCUAUCUGGAUGGAGGAAGCCAAUCGUACCGUAGGGCUUUCUGCCCUUGCGGAUCUCCCUCAGCUGCAAGGGGGGUCAAUGUCCCCAUCUCAGCUUCUCAAACAAGGCUCUACAAGAGAAAGGGAGAGAGAGAGACCUGGGGAGGGACGUCUCUGGGUAGGCAGACCCAGUGGAGCUCAAGAGAGAGCUGGAUAGGGUGGGCCCAGGCAUCAGGAGAGGGACUGGAGAAUAGGUAGACUGAAGGGUCAUGAAACAUCCUGCCCCAUCAAGUCUGGACCCACCCAAGCCCAGCCCAGCAAUCCCAACUUGAGUAGGGGAGGAUCAGAGCAAAGAGAGGAAUAGAUGGGGUGAAGGGGUACCCUCUUACUUUCCUCCAUUCCAGUGAAGUAGAGAUAAGUGAGGCCAAGAUUCCGGAACCCAGGCCCAGGCUCUCGGCAAUGAUUGUGAGGUCACCAAGCUUCAAGGACCCCAUUGACAUUGCCACCAUUGAUGGGUGAGCCCUGGUGUGCUUCACAGGCUUAGAACCAAGUUCUUCAGGGAGAAAAUGGCAGCUGUCACUGCUGAAAACCCGAAACCACAGCAUCUCCCAGGAGCCACCUGGAGACUCUCUGCUGCCAUGCUCAGGCCGAGUCUUCUCCCAGGCAUAGAAGACAGCCAGGUGAAGCUGGCCUUCAGUGCCUUCCCACUGACCUCAGGGCCCUUGCUGCCCCUUAGGAACUGCCCCCUAGAAUUAGGGUUGCCCAAAAGCAGACUCCUCAGUGGGUUCUCCAUCGCUGGAGGUGGUGAAGAGUAGAAAUGGCCAAGUUCUAGGGAUUGAAUCCAGGAGGGAUGGAACCCAAUGGACUCCAUAUGCCUUCCCGCUCUGUGACCCCCUGCCCCAGGCUCCCCGUCAGAGCAGUGGGGUCUUAGUAAAUAAAUGCUGACUGCAAAUGGCUUGUCUUCACUAAAAUCUGCUGCCCGCUCUCCCGUGAAAAGGAGUGAUAAGGCGCUCACCUGAGACAUCCAUGACCGAGGACUCCGGAAUGUUUUCCUUUUCUGAUCCCUAACCCAAGAGGAGCAGCUGAGUGGACACUAAGCUACCACCAAAGAAAUACUGGGACAGCCCUGGCCAACACAAUCCAAAGUAAACUUCCAAAGCCCGAAAAGCUCAAGAACUAAAACAAUCAGUUCCGACUGCGGAGAACGUGUGAUAAAGUGCUGUCACUCUCCGAGAGAUAGAGAUGGGAGCAGCUCCCAGGAGAGAAUGUUCCGGCCCUUGUCAGCCAGGCUCAGUAUCAGGCUUUUGGUUGAGUUGUUUUACUUUGUUACAAGCAAGGUGAGCGCCCAGUGGGGCCUGUUCAAGGGUGGGAAGAGGAGAGCAGCGCUACCACGGAGAAACAAAAGGCUUCAUCACAGCUAUUUAAACAAAGUAGUUCUUUUUGUUGCGUUAAAAUUCCCAGCGAUCUCCCUCCCUCCCUUCUCCCCAUCCUCAACUAGACGAGAGGUAUCGCUUGACAAAAAGUUCUAUCAAAUGCCGCCUCCCUUGUUGCCAUUUAUCGGUUCUUUCUCGGGAGGUGGACACACAGGAUUUCCGUGGCUGGCUGUAGUGUUCUCUGGGCUCUAGCUUUUCGCUCUUCAUCAUUUCAUGGAGGUCUCGGAACAAACCCGAAGGCCCCCUCUUCCCGACAGCACCCUAGUAUCCCAUCACCAGCCCCUGCCCCAGCAGUGCGGGUGUAGCCAUUCCCCCAGGAGAGGGGCGUCUCAUCUUCUCGGUGCCCUCACCAGCAGAGCUGCUGUGGAUAUCGCAGAACCGGGCAGCUCCUUUUCCUUUUCCUGCUCUCCUCGGGGACAUAGCUGCAGGCCUUUGGAACCAGGCAAUGGGUUUAUCUCCAUCCCGCUUAUGUCCUUGUUCAAAGGCACACACGUAGUACGUGCACGUUCAUACAGAGAAUGGACAGACCCACGGAGUAUCUGUGCACACUUAAGGGACCCAGAGAUGGUACACGCAUGUACUAGAUGUGUACAUGAGGUCUACCUACAUAGUACACGCACACAGAGAUCUCUGGGUUCCUUUCACAAACAAAGUCUCCCUCUCCAGCCGCCGUCGAGGCUCUGUUUCUAUGGAAAUGCCCGUUGCUGGGUUUUGUUUGCGGUGUUCGAGCUCAGAACCCAAAGGGAUCGAGGCGCUCUGGGGGCGCUGGAACUGCCGGGGAGUCUCUUUUCUGCGGCAGCCAGCAGCUGGACUGUCCGCCUUCUGUC